rnacentral:rRNA from 1 species
CCUACGGGUGGCAGCAGCGGGGAAUAUUGGACAAUGGGGGGAACCCUGAUCCAGCGACGCCGCGUGCGUGAAGAAGUAUUUCGGUAUGUAAAGCUCUAUCAGCAGGGGAGAAAGAAAUGACGGUACCUGACUAAGAAGCCCCGGCUAACUACGUGCCAGCAGCCGAGGUAAUACGGAGGGGGCAAGCGUUAUCCGGAUUUACUGGGUGUAACGGGAGCGUAGACGGCGAUGCAAGUCUGAAGUGAAAGGCGGGGGCCCAACCCCCGGACUGCUUUGGAAACUGUAUGGCUGGAGUGCAGGAGAGGUAAGUGGAAUUCCUAGUGUAGCGGUGAAAUGCGUAGAUAUUAGGAGGAACACCAGUGGCGAAGGCGGCUUACUGGACUGUAACUGACGUUGAGGCUCGAAAGCGUGGGGAGCAAACAGGAUUAGAUACCCGUGUAGUC